rnacentral:rRNA from 1 species
GAGACAGCAGUAGCCGCGGGAAUACGUAGGGUGCGAGCGUUAAUCGGAAUUACUGGGCGUAAAGCGUGCGCAGGCGGUUCGUUAAGACAGAUGUGAAAUCCCCGGGCUUAACCUGGGAACUGCAUUUGUGACUGACGGGCUAGAGUAUGGCAGAGGGGGGUAGAAUUCCACGUGUAGCAGUGAAAUGCGUAGAGAUGUGGAGGAAUACCGAUGGCGAAGGCAGCCCCCUGGGCCAAUACUGACGCUCAUGCACGAAAGCGUGGGGAGCAAACAGGAUUAGAUACCCCCGUAGUCCCUGUCUCUUAUAC